CUUGUUCCUGCUUUAUCUGCAGAGGUUCUGGUUCCAAUUGAUCCCAUUUUAUCUGCAGAGGUUCUGGUUCCUCUUGAUCCCAUUUUAUCUGCAGAGGUUCUGUUUCCUCUUGCUCCCGUUUCAUCUGCAGAGGUUCUGGUUCCUCUUCUUCCCUUUUCAUCUGCAGAGGUUCUGGUUCCUCUUGCUCCCGUUUCAUCUGCAGAGGUUCUGGUUCCUCUUGCUCCCGUUUCAUCUGCAGAGGUUCUGGUUCGUCUUGUUCCU